rnacentral:lncRNA from 1 species
UGUAGAUUAAUAGACGGCUGGGAUAAGGUCGUCGCAUGACUCAGUGCGCAUGCGCGGUCAGCCAUGUUUGAUGCUAUUCCCCACUCCUAAUGUUCACCACACAAUGUAAACAAACAGUGUAUGGCAUGUCAAAAAAAUUUCAACAUCAAAAUUUAAUCAUUUAUUUAUUGAAUAAAUAUUGUACGUCAACGUUGUGCGAUCGGUUGCUUCCCCCAGAGAUUUAGAUCAUCGUCGAAAAUGAUCUACUGGUGCUGGUGUGAGCCAAAUAAAACCAUGCUCAACGUUAUGUGAGAUAUAUUUAUAAAGAUCCAACAUAAUGAAUCUCAAUAUGAACAACAUCGUCAGGAUGGCUCAAAAAAAAUUAAAACCAAAUGCAGUACCAACUUUGUUUGGUGAUGUUUUGAUAGAUUUUUUAAGUAAAAUUCACCAAAAUACAAGUGACAACAUGAUGUUAAUUAGACUUCAUGUGAAUCACUAAAGCAGUUGUCAACAACAAACUUAGGUGAAUCCUUUUCCAGACCAUUGCUUGAUGUAAUCAUAGAUAAAUAUACCACUGACAA